CAUCUGUCUGCCUCCCCCAUCCACGACUGGGAAUCUGUGAGGUGGGGCGGGCAGAGGCGUCACGGGACCUCUGGGUCUCUCCUGGUUCUGCCUUGUGCUUGCUGUGUGGCUUUGGAGAAGUUGCUUCUCCUCUCUGGGCCUCAGUGUACCCAUCCGAUAGGCAGGCUGGGCCGGGUUCGGGGAAUCUGUAAGCCAUCUGGUCCCGAGAUGGCACAGCGUGGCACCUGGCACCAGGCCUCGCGGCCGUCUUUGCCCUGAGCAUGAUGACCCCCCGCCCCACCCCCGGUCACAGCCAAGGCCACAUGACAGCCAGAGAGUCCUCUCCGCUGGCCCCAGGAGAACAUUUGGAAACAAUCACGUCCACCCCCAUAGAUUGCUGCCUGUUGCUAAGACCGCGUUGGCCGGCCAGCCCCACGUCACAGUUCAGGGCCGCUCAGGACGCCACUGCGUCCUCGUAGGCCCUGCGAAGUGUGCGUGCAGCCCGGCCUUGUCCCAGCGGAGCGAGAGGGCCUGGGGUGCCGGGAUGGGAGGGCUGGGCCGGGGGUGAGAGCCAGGUGUCCUGGGUGCACACGCUGGCUUCGGCUCUGCGGCCUCGCACACGUCACUUCCCUGCUCAGCCUCCUCACUGAGGGCGGUGGCGAGGAUGCAACCAGCUGCCGUCUCAGAAUGUGGGCUUCCUGGGUGGCACAGAGAUGAAGAACCCGCCUGCCCGUGCGGGAGACUCGGGAGGCUCCGGUUCCAUCCCUGCGUCACCAAGAUCCCCUCGAGGGGGAAAUGGCAGCCCACUCCAGUACUCUUGCCUGGAAAUCCCAUGGACAGAGGAGCCUGGCGGACUACAGUCCAUGUGGUCGCAAAGAGCUGUACACAACUUAGUGACCGGGCACACACACACACACACACACACACACCCCUUGGAACAGCGCCUGGCUCCUGUGUCGAGCCUAGCGGAGAUGGGGCUUAAUUCUCUGAGGCAAAUGUAAAUCUUUAUUUGGCUCAGGCAGUCUCUCCUUCCGAGGAAAUAAUUGAGUUUGAGUUCAUUUUUUAAAAAUUGACUCCCUCCAGUCUGCUCUGUGAGGUCCCUUCCAUUUCAACUUCUACUUUCUCUCUGAAGAAGAGGGUUUACUGAGCUCAUUGCUGGUAGGGGCCGUCUUGAAGGGGCAAAGGUCUGUCCUACCGAGGAUAGUGCCACUGUUUUAAGGAGCGUGAGCAUUAUCUUCAUUGCACCCACCUGCCACAAGAAAUCUUCCUUGUGAUUGAGCCCCCUCAGGGUAACCAUUCUCCGUGGAAAGCAUCUCAUCAGCUCAGGAGAGGGAGGAAAGGAGUGACCAAGUGUGAGGUCCAUGUGGUUAAGCCCCCCCCCCCACAUCAUUCCAUCCGGCCUGGGGCCCCCCACCAUUCCAGUCCUGUACCCUAGCUCUGAGUUCCUGCAGACACACUCACACUCCCCUUUUAAAUGUGGGUGAUGGAGAAGGGAGGAAGCUUUGUUUUUUAAUGAGGAUCAGGCUGGAAAUUUGUGCAAGGGAAAAACUUUUUAUUGUAAAGUCUCUGCUGCUGCAUGUGGUCGCCCUGACCUGCAAAGGCAUCACGUUGAAUUACCUUGUCUUCAGAAAGUGCAUGUGCACAUGUGGGUGGGCGCGCAUGUAGGAAACCUCUUGCUUAUGAAUAUUUCCUCCUCCGAACAGCUUGAAGCCGGCCUCCCAAUUCUCUACGUGGUUCUCACAACGCGUCCUUUUGGCUGUAUCUUGGUGCCUGAAGUGAAAGUGAAAGUUUUAGUCGCUCAGUCAUGUCGGGCUCUCUGC